rnacentral:RNase_P_RNA from 1 species
GAUAAUCGCGUGAGGAGAAUUGCUUCUCAUGAGGAAAGUCCAUGCUAGCACAGGCUGUGAUGCCUGUAGUGUUUGUGCUAGGCGAAACCAUAAGCCUAGGGACGAGAAAUCGUUACGGCAGUUGAAAUGGCUAAGUCCUUGGAUAGGCCAGAGUAGGCUUGAAAGUGCCACAGUGACGGAGUCUUUCUGGAAACAGAGAGAGUGGAACGCGGUAAACCCCUCAAGCUAGCAACCCAAAUUUUGGUCGGGGCAUGGAGUACGCGGAAACGAACGUAGUAUUCUGACUGCUAUCA